rnacentral:rRNA from 1 species
AGUGAACGCUGGCGGUAGGCCUAACACAUGCAAGUCGAACGGCAGCACAGUAAGAGCUUGCUCUUACGGGUGGCGAGUGGCGGACGGGUGAGGAAUACAUCGGAAUCUACUUUUUCGUGGGGGAUAACGUAGGGAAACUUACGCUAAUACCGCAUACGACCUACGGGUGAAAGCAGGGGAUCUUCGGACCUUGCGCGAUUGAAUGAGCCGAUGUCGGAUUAGCUAGUUGGCGGGGUAAAGGCCCACCAAGGCGACGAUCCGUAGCUGGUCUGAGAGGAUGAUCAGCCACACUGGAACUGAGACACGGUCCAGACUCCUACGGGAGGCAGCAGUGGGGAAUAUUGGACAAUGGGCGCAAGCCUGAUCCAGCCAUACCGCGUGGGUGAAGAAGGCCUUCGGGUUGUAAAGCCCUUUUGUUGGGAAAGAAAAGCAGCAGGUUAAUACCCCGCUGUUCUGACGGUACCCAAAGAAUAAGCACCGACUAGCUUCGUG